rnacentral:tRNA from 1 species
GGGGCUGUAGCUCAGUGGUAAAGCACUUGCCUAGCAUGCAUGAAGCACUGGGUUCGAUCCUCAGCACCA